UACGGAAGGUGCAAGCGUUAAUCGGAAUCACUGGGCGUAAAGCGCUCGUAGGUUGCUUUGUAAGUCAGGUGUGAAAUCCCACGGCUCAACCGUGGAAUUGCACUUGAUACUGCAUUGCUUGAGUUCGGGAGAGGGUAGUGGAAUUCCAGGUGUAGGAGUGAAAUCCGUAGAGAUCUGGAGGAACACCGGUGGCGAAGGCGACUACCUGGACCGAUACUGACACUGUGGAGCGAAAGAAACUGAAUGACUU
rnacentral:rRNA from 1 species